CCUACGGGAGGCAGCAGUGAGGAAUAUUGGUCAAUGGGCGCGAGCCUGAACCAGCCAAGUAGCGUGAAGGAUGACUGCCCUACGGGUUGUAAACUUCUUUUAUAAAGGAAUAAAGUGAGGCACGUGUGCCGUUUUGUAUGUACUUUAUGAAUAAGGAUCGGCUAACUCCGUGCCAGCAGCCGCGGUAAUACGGAGGAUCCGAGCGUUACCCGGAUUUAUUGGGUUUAAAGGGUGCGUAGAGGGGUUGUUAAGUCAGUUGUGAAAGUUUGCGGCUCAACCGUAAAAUUGCAGUUGAAACUGGCGGCCUUGAGUGCAGUAGAGGUAGGCGGAAUUCGUGGUGUAGCGGUGAAAUGCUUAGAUAUCACGAAGAACUCCGAUUGCGAAGGCAGCCUACUAGACUGCAACUGACAUUGAUGCUCGAAAGUGUGGGUAUCAAACAGGAUUAGAUACCCUAGUAGUC
rnacentral:rRNA from 1 species